CGUCUAUAUACGUAUAGCAUAUCAAUAAGCGGAGGAAAAGAAACUAACAAGGAUUCCCUUAGUAACGGCGAGUGAAGCGGGAAGAGCUCAAAUUUGAAAUCUUCAAGGUUCUACCUUGACGAAUUGUAGUUUAUAGAAGUGUUUUCUGUUAGUGGAGUGGCAAAAGUUCUUUGGAAUAGGACAUCAUAGAGGGUGAGAAUCCCGUAUUUGGUCAUUCCUCCUAGCGUUGUGAUACACUUUCAACGAGUCGGAUUGUUUGGGAAUGCAGUCCAAAAUGGGUGGUAAAUUUCAUCUAAAGCUAAAUAUUGGCGAGAGACCGAUAGCGAACAAGUACCGUGAGGGAAAGAUGAAAAGAACUUUGAAAAGAGAGUUAAACAGUACGUGAAAUUGUCAAAAGGGAAGCGUUUGACACCAGUGUUGUUUUUCCGAAAAUCAAUUACGAAUGGUUUGAUUUUGAGUAGUUAUGACCUUCAUCAGCUUUCUCACUUUCUUUAUGAAGUCUUUCUUAAUGCACUUUUUCGGUUAACAAGUCAACAUCAAUUUCUUUUGUUGUAAAAGAGUAUUAGGAAGGUGGCUUUCUUUUCGGAGAAAGUGUUUAUAGCCCUUAUGCCUCUACGAUCGGAGAGAUUGAGGUCUGCAGCGUAGAUCCUUCGGGGUUAGAUACAUUUGUGCUAAGUUAUAGCUUUCAUAGACAACUUGUUGACUAUGAUUCAGUCAUUGUAGCUUACUCGCUUAUGCUAUUUUACCUACGCUUAGGAUGUUGACUGAUAUGUAGUCGU
rnacentral:rRNA from 1 species